AGUCUGUCUCUCUCUCUCACACACACACACACACGCACAUGCAUACACACACGCACACACCCACAUGCAAACGCACACACAGGAUGAUGACUGUGCUGUCCAGAACCUCUUUCCCUGGAGCUCCUGGGCAGCUGGGACAUUUUACUUGUUAAGGUCCGUUCACUCGACCUCAUCCAGCCUUAUGGCGAAUGGUUUUUGGACUCAGUGUGCUCUACUUCCUGUUCCUGGUAUUCCUACUCUUCCUGAAUUUCGAGCAGGUUAAAUCUCUAAUGUAUUGGCUAGAUCCAAAUCUUCGAUACGCCACAAGGGAAGCAGAUGUCAUGGAGUAUGCUGUGAACUGCCAUGUGAUCACCUGGGAGAGGAUUAUCAGCCACUUUGAUAUUUUUGCAUUUGGACAUUUCUGGGGCUGGGCCAUGAAGGCCUUGCUGAUCCGUAGUUACGGUCUCUGCUGGACAAUCAGUAUUACCUGGGAGCUGACUGAGCUCUUCUUCAUGCAUCUCCUCCCCAAUUUUGCCGAGUGCUGGUGGGAUCAAGUCAUUCUGGAUAUCCUGUUGUGCAAUGGCGGUGGCAUUUGGCUGGGCAUGGUCGUUUGCCGGUUUUUAGAGAUGAGGACUUACCACUGGGCAAGCUUCAAGGACAUUCAUACCACCACUGGGAAGAUCAAGAGAGCUGUACUGCAGUUCACUCCUGCUAGCUGGACCUACGUUCGAUGGUUUGACCCCAAAUCUUCUUUUCAGAGAGUAGCUGGAGUG
rnacentral:sRNA from 1 species